GAGCUAGCCCACUGCCCAGCCGCACCUCCUUUUCCUCUUGGGUUUCCUAAUGGAGUGCGUCGACGGUGAGCGGUUGGGGAAUCGAAAUUUGCACAACGGCGAGAGGAUGCGCGGACGGCGGCGAGAGGUGGGCGGGCUCAGUAGCGAAGUGAGCGACGGCUGCGCUGACCCUGUCCUAGAUAGCGUCGGCGGCGGCAGCAGGUGAAAUCAGCAGCCUUGUGGUCGGUCGUCCGAAGCGGCUGUUGGAUGGCAGCAGGUGAAAUGGCGGUUUGGUGUGAUUGGCUUCAACAGAACCAAUUCCCAUUGGAGUGGAAGGGGACGAGCGGCUGUUGGAUGGCGGCAACUGGUGACUUCGGCAGCCUCACCCUCGGAUUAGGUGCGUACUAUCGAUCCCCUUACAAGCUACAUGAAGCUUUGCUUGUUUUCAAUCGGCGUCCACGAAUUUAGUUAUAGCCUACGCAAGAUCUGAUAUGUGCGCCUUCUCUUAUGUCAGCCCAAGACUGAAUUUUUUUUCAGCAAUGAUGUGGGGAUCUGUCCGCUAGAUCUAUGUAGGUUUCAUGUCAUCUCGGGGCAAUGCUGCCAUGGCAGUGUGGCGGCGUCAGCAACCUGGUUCGUCCACGCGGUGGGUGGUGGCUGAGGGUAGCCUCGGCAUUGGCACAUCGGGUGGUUCCUGCGGGAUGCAUCAUGGUGAGCAGCAGGCCCCCUGAGCCGUGUUGUGGGUCGAUUCAUGGCCAGCGCGCCCAUGGGCUUCAACGUAAGGUACGGUAGCUGGCCAUUCCGUUCUCUGUAAGUUUUUUAUUUAAAUCACCUAGCAGGAUGCCAGUUACAUAAUACUCUUCAUAAUAUGCAAAGAAAACUCUUAACUUUACCCCUGGCCUCUUUCCGGUCAGUUCAUCUGGUAAGUAGAUGCACUGAUUCAGGUUCAAACUACCAACCACUAUUCUAUCAUCCCCAUCUUCAACACUUGGCAAAUGUCAUUUCAGAGGUUAAGCUCUAGGAUUGAUAGAUCAUUCCUGUUAGAAUGAGUAUAACCAAUUGUAUAUUAAACACCUCUGAAAAAAUGCGAGAGCCAAGAGAGGCAGGAUAUGUUUUAUUUUUUGCACAGGGAUGAGUGAAGUUGGAUCUAGAGAGAACAAAUAGUAAGUCUAGUGGAACUCGGAAGCACAAACUGUCAUGCUUACAAUUUGGCCAGAACUGAAUCUUUCUUUUCUUCCCGUACUGAUUCGGGACAAGGUAUUACAUGACAGAGCUAUAGAGACUAAGAACCGGAAAAGGUUGUGGGCGACCCAGGCUCCCAACAAGAUGAAAAUUGUACUCUGGCAGAUGAUACUUGAUUGCCUGCCAACGGGAGAACAAUUACAACACAGACACAUCACGACUGAGGAUAACUGUGUGUUCUGUGGUCGUGAAUCGACCCACAGCAUGGAGCACAUGGAAUGGAGUUGAGAAAUAAAUGUCCAUUCGAGGACAAUGCAUCCUUAACAAUUUACCAUGUUGAACAAAGCUCCUCUAUUGAAACCGAACACGGUAGCUGUGGUACCGUCCCAUUUAUAAAAGAGACUAUGAAAAAUUAAUCAUAUUCCGAGAAAUCUGAUUUUGUAAUGAUACCCCUUUUAUGUCAGACUUGAAUGCUUUCUGAAAGUUCUGCGUUAGUACUAGCCAUUUCGAGUUGUAUAAAAUAUUACACUACAUUCUUGUUAGUCACAAGCUUGUCUUGGACAGGCUCAACCUUAACCCGAACAAGCUGCAACACCUAUUUAACUAUAGUUGGAGAGUCAUGUAGCAGUUUUCCUUGUAAAUGGUUUCUGAUUACCUGAUGCAAUUGCUUCACUCUUAGUUCAUGUUCACUGCAUAUUUUUCACUAGCAUAACAUGCCCUAUAUAGGAUGCUCCUGUUUGAUAAGUAACACUAGGUGACUCAGCUACAUUUUUUUUAAAGGAAUAUAAUUAUACCAUUCUCAUAAUUUUAUGCUAUUUUUCAUGUCAUAGGCGGAUCUUAUUGUAUAUGGUUCAGUAACUCUUAUUCUCUUGCUUUUGUGCAUGUCGUCUGAUGUUCGUGCUACGAAUACCACCGCCAACAUUAGUAGGCCAAUGGUUUUGAGCCACUCAAAGAAAUUGUCCAGGUCGAGGAAAUCACAGAACAAGGUUGUUCCUUGCGCUAACCCAAUGACCGAAGAGCAGCAGGAGAGAUAAACAUUGAGUUCCAAACUGCUUUAUCCUUUCAAGUUCCACCGAAGAAAGAAGUAUGUCAUAUUCUUCUUGAAGUCUUGUUAGCGCCUUUGCUCUACAUGAAAUUGACCUAUGUGACCGAAGUUUGAUGGAGCAACUAUUACUUGUGCCUUGUAUUUAUUUUUUAUUCUGACUGUAUGUCAUAUUCUUCUUGAAGUCUUGUUAGCGCAUUUACUCUACAUGAAAUUGGCCUAUGUGACAGAAGUUUGAUGGAGUAGGUAUUACUUAUGCCUUGUAUUUAUUUUUUAUUCCGACUGUUUGUUAUUUUAUACCCAUUAUAAACUCUGGCAGAUUUGAUCUUAUA